CAAGCGGUGGAGCAUGUGGUUUAAUCGAAGCAACGCGAAGAACCUUACCAGGUCUUGACAUCCCGAUGCUAUUUCUAGAGAUAGAAAGUUACUUCGGUACAUCGGUGACAGGUGGUGCAUGGUUGUCGUCAGCUCGUGUCGUGAGAUGUUGGGUUAAGUCCCGCAACGAGCGCAACCCCUAUUGUUAGUUGCCAUCAUUCAGUUGGGCACUCUAGCGAGACUGCCGGUAAUAAACCGGAGGAAGGUGGGAUGACGUCAAAUCAUCAUGCCCCUUAUGACCUGGGCUACACACGUGCUACAAUGGUUGGUACAACGAGUUGCGAGUCGGUGACGGCGAGCUAAUCUCUUAAAGCCAAUCUCAGUUCGGAUUGUAGGCUGCAACUCGCCUACAUGAAGUCGGAAUCGCUAGUAAUCGCGGAUCAGCACGCCGCGGUGAAUACGUUCCCGGGCCUU
rnacentral:rRNA from 1 species